CAUCUAAGAGGAGCAGCCCAGCAAUGGCAUCAAGAAAGGCAGAGUGUGGACACUUCCAGUCUCAGCCCUACAAAAGGAGAAGGGGGAAGAAGAGCACCAAGACACAAAUACCCAGCAAAACUUUUGUUUCCUGCUUCUUGUCAGGUUACAAUGUCAAAAUGUAACUGUUCGGUUGAUAAGCCAUGGUGGCAGCUAUGUAUGAGGCCACUAUAUACUAUAAAGGUAGCUACUCAGGCUGAGAUGCAUUACAAUUGCAAAACAGAUUUCAGAUUUCAAAGGCUUCAUUCCAAUCCUCCUUUUUAAAAAAGGAAUGAUAACUAUCUCAAUUUCUAUAUUAUGUUGAUGUGAUAAUAUUCUUAAUAUAUCAGUCAUAUAAUUAUCUGCUUUUACAUCUGA
rnacentral:lncRNA from 1 species